rnacentral:rRNA from 1 species
GGGUUAGUCGGGACCUAAGCCGAGGCCGACAGGCGUAGGCGAUGGAUAACAGGUUGAUAUUCCUGUACCCGUUGUUUUUGUUUGAGCAAUGGAGGGACGCAGGAGGCUAAGGAAUGCAGACGAUCGGAAAUGUCUGUCCAAGCAGUAAGUCUGAAGAGGAGUCAAAUGCUUCUUUUCUUAAGGACAAGCUGUGAUGGGGA